UCUCCGUUGGUGAACCAGCGGAGGGAUCAUUACUGAGUGAGGGCUUCGGUCCGACCUCCAACCCUUUGUGAACCAAACUUGUUGCUUCGGGGGCGACCCUGCCGCUUCGGCGGUGCGGCGCCCCCGGAGGUCUUCUAAACACUGCAUCUUUGCGUCGGAGUUUAAAACAAAUUAAACAAAACUUUCAACAACGGAUCUCUUGGUUCUGGCAUCGAUGAAGAACGCAGC
rnacentral:misc_RNA from 1 species